CGUUUCGCAUCUUGUUUAUGUGUCAUGUCAAGUUCGAAGGUUUCAUAUUAAAAACGAAAGUAGAGUCGGUCACGCCAUGACUGUUAUGGGCCGGGGAAACGUUCAGUCUGCCUGGGUUAUAUAUAGGUAGAUUAAUUGAUUUCGGAUCAGAAAUUAUCAAUGUUCAUGGAUUCUCAGAACACAGCAGGGAGAAGUUAUGUUAUGAACAGUUCUUAUCAACAAACCCUGUAAGAAGAAGGACACCUGUUCUACAGCUUGUGGUGGAUCAUAGAACACAUGAUAUCAACCAAGUUUAAAGGAAGCAUGUAUAGCCACAAUAGAAAGAUUUAAGGAUUGUGAGAAACCAAAUAUGACAAAUCAAAGUAAAUUUCAUGGGAGUGUGAAAAAAAAAAGAAUAGUAGAGUGUAAUCCUCAGGACUUUCUUCAGACUUCCAUAAAGUCAGGAAAUACUGUUGAGCUGACAAAAUUAACAAAAAUCAUGAUUCUCAAAAAUUCAAGGAAGAUGUGAGAGUUAAGACUAAGAUGGAUUUUAGGAGUUUUGAUGACAAAGAAUCAACCAUUGGAAAUAUGGCUUUAAACUUGGAGCUCAUUAUUGAUGCAUACAUGAUGGUGGGCUGAAGAAGAAAACCAGGACAAAAGAAAAUUCCUAGUGUUCAUCAGAAAAAAUGAAUCAUGCAACCAUUUUGAGUGCUUGAAUGCUGAACUGAGAGACCGCCAGCCAGUGCGGAAAAUAUUUCUUGGAAGUUACACCAAAUCUGCUGUGACAAUUGAAUUAAAGCUUUAAAAGUAGAUUUAAAAACAUACUGAUUCCUCUAUAAGUGAGACUUGAUUGCUUUUGACAGUUGCCGGUGGAUUUCAGAUCUUCUAAAUUGUACCAAUAUUAUAUAUUGAAGUGAUUUGCCUUAAAAUUACAUUU